CGCCUCUCCCGGUCGUCCUCCAGUCCCUCCCUCCAUCGCCGCCGCUCAAUCGAUCUCCGCCGGCAGGUGCUCUCUCCAGCCGACGGUGAUACCUGAGCGUCCGGUGAGGCUCCUUCGUCCACACACUCUGCCGCGGCCGGCACCUUUCGUCCGAGACGAAGCUCCCCGACCCGUUUUCCCCAGAUCUCCUAGUGGGGACGCAUCAACCAGUGCAGAAGCGCCCGAUGUCCCAUUAAAAUAUGAAUUAUCAUGCAAAAUGAUUGCCGUAAACCACCAAUUAGCUGGAUGUUUCCCAUCAACAAGAUGAGUUGUGUAAUGGAGUAACUUUGGUCUCAUAGGCUACCUUUCUGUUAUCAUUUUGUAAGCCUGGUUAUAUGGUAAUCAUUUGGCUUCCAUUUUGUAAACCUGGUUAUGUGGUGACAAGCUAUUAUUUUGUAAACUUAAUUAUGCGUAAUGAGUUGAGAACAUAUGAACAAUCAUUGUUGUAUAUGAACUUAAUGCAUAUCAUUAUUGAUGGUUAUGCUUUAACUCCCCAUGGUAUUUGUUGGAGGAUAUAUGUGAAUAUAAUGAUUUUUCCAUUCAGUA